rnacentral:rRNA from 1 species
CACGUAGGAGGCAAACGUUAUCCGGAUUUACUGGGCGUAAAGCGCGUGUAGGUGGUUCUGUAAGUAGGGCGUGAAAGCUCCCGGCUCAACUGGGAGAGGCCGUUCUAUACUGCAGAGCUAGAGGAUGGUAGAGGGAGGUGGAAUUCCAGGUGUAGCGGUGGAAUGCGCAGAUAUCUGGAGGAACACCAGUGGCGAAGGCGGCCUCCUGGACCAUUCCUGACACUCAGACGCGAAAGCUAGGGUAGCAAACGGGAUUAGAUACCCCGGUAGU